GGGUCAGUAGGUUGGUCGUGCCACCGGUACGUACUGGUCUCACUGAUUCCUCCUUCCUGAAGAACCGUAAUACCAUUAAGUUGGUGUUGCGGGGAAACAGGACUGUUACUUUGAAAAAAUUAGAGUGUUUAAAGCAAGCUAACGCUUGAAUACAUUAGCAUGGAAUAAUGAAAUAGGACGAUCGAUCCUAUUUUGUUGGUUUCUAGGAUUGACGUA
rnacentral:rRNA from 1 species